rnacentral:lncRNA from 1 species
UCCCUCCUCUCCCUCCUCCCUCUCUCUCUCUCUCUCUCUCGUUUUUCUCUUCCUUUCUCUUUCUCUCUCACCCUCUCUGUGCAACUCUCUUGGUCAUUCUCCUCUCUCUGUGCAACUCUUUCCUAUCCAGUAUUUUGCUCUGCAAAUUCCAUCCACCUUUGCCUCUGAAUUCUCAACUCCGUCUCCUCAGCGCAGGAAGACCUUCAGACUCCCAGCACGGUGGCCAGGAAACACUCUGCAAGCAAUGAUAUUUAAAGCAAUUGGACUGGAUGCACCAUCUAGAGCGUGUGUGUGGCUGAAGAAGAGAAGAAGCUCAAAGGUCUGAUUCUUUCAGGAUCCUAAGGAGGCUCUCCAGCAUCUGAAAGUUGAGAAAAUGAGAAGAGAGAGGCACAGAAAAAUUAACAACUAACCUUCCAAAGGUUAUACAACUAGUUAUUAGCAAAGUUGAGAUUAGAACCUGUGAUGUCUGCCCCUGAAGUGUGUACUCACAUGGCCAAGACUCCCAAGGGUUAUGAAGAGGAUCUCUGCUUGCCCCUGUCUUCAACAUUUUCCCCUUGCUUUCCCAUUGUGUUCAACAAGUUCUAAUUGCCAGUUACCCUACCUAAAUUUUUUCUUUUUCUUAUUAAGUAUCUUAAUCAUCUUAUUCUUAUUGUAGAGUGGAACAAAUUCUUUAUUUUCCAGGAAGAAGGGGCUCGAAUGCAAGUAUCCUCUCUUCUUGAUACUUUGGGCUAGUCCACAAUCUUGCAACACAUUCUUGGACCUUCUUUCCACUUAGCAAUUUUGUGUGAUUAUCAGUGCUGAUUAUUCUUCCAUUUUCUUGGUGAAAGUAGUAUGUUUCCUGUUAUUAUAUCAAUUUUCUCUGUCAAGCAGCACUGCUAACAUAGAUUGUAAGGAAUUCAUAGAAUAUAUAUGGGCAACCAAAAAAUAGAAUGUCUGCAUAUAUCCAUAGCAACUAAUAUACAUCAUGUACAACCACUAAAUAGGAUAUUUCAAUGGACAUGUGUAUAUUCUAUAAAUUGUGUGUUUUAAGGUAUAAUAAUAUAAAUUAGCUACCUAUACACAUUAUAUAUACUGGGUAUAUUGUCAGCUAAUUUUUACAAAUCCCUAUGACGUAUUUUUAGCCCUCAUUAUAUAGAGGCUCAGAGAGGUUAAGUAACUUGUCCAAGAUCACACUGUUACUAAAUAGCUAUAUCAUCUCACCGUAAACUUUUAUGACAUCUGGUACAUCUUCCUAAUGGUUAUCCUCAAUUGUAAUGUGUACUUAUUUUUAUGAUUGUUUGAUUAUUGUUUUACUGAUCUAUAAGGCAGAGCUUAUGUCUUUUUUUGCUUAGCAUUUUAUUACCAUAACCAAAAACAAUGACUGAUGCAUA